UGGAAACCCUAAAACCAAUUCUCUCCGCCUCUUUGUUUCAAACUCACACACCCACACGCCGUGAACAACAACAGCGAUUGUUCUCUCCUCACUCUUCUGCUCGCGAUGAACACGAAACAUAGCAACAUAAUACUCUGUUCUCUCCACUCUCGAUUGUUUUCCGCCAUGACAGGAGCUCUUAGAACUCGGACGAACCCACACACCCACACGCCGUGAACAACAACAACGAAAUCCUCUCAACUGCGUCGCUCUCUAGCAAAAUCAAACAAAACGCAAAAAGGAAAAACCCUAAUCCCCAAAUCAAACCCAACCCCAGGUAUACACUUUGCUCUUUAACUCGAUUCCUCCUCUUCAUUACUGUUCUUCGUGCUCAUCUCCUUCUUCUGCAUUUUCUUGUUCUGUUGUGUGUCUGCUGAUGUUGUAAUUUAGUGAGUCAUUUCAAUCUCUCUUCCUGAAACUUCUCCCAUCAGUUUCCUCUCUUCCCGAAACCACCGCUCUUCCUUCGUUAAACCACCUCUCUUCCUCCAUUUCCUCUCUUCGUUAAACCCUUUCCUCUCUUCCACCGUUUCAAUCUUGCUUCCUCUCUUUAUGGGUCUCCUCCAUUAAACCCUAAUCUUCUAUGUUUCUCCCUAAAUUUUCUCUGAAAAAAUCCCUAAUCUUCUUCAUCCCAAAAAAAUGUUCGAUUCUUCUUCAUCUUCGCCGUGACCGAGGAUCUUAGUCCAAAUAGGUUGAUGACUCUUCAACUGACUCGAUCGUUUCAUGGGGAAAAAAACAAUAACACUUUUGUUGUUUUGAAUGCUACCGAUUUCGCGAAAUAUAUCUUGCCUAAGUAUUUUAAGCAUAACAACUUCUCAAGCUUUGUCAGGCAGUUGAACACAUAUCCUCUAUUUCAUGAUGGGAUGAAAGAAUGGAGUUGCUGCAAGAAAAGAAGUCAUGAUUUUAGCUUGUUUUUGGAAAUUCCAGGACACUUGCUGAAGGGGCAAUGGUUAGUUACACUGAGAAAGGAAUGCAAAAUUCUCAAGAUAUACUAGUAGGUAAGGAUGAAUGAAAGAAAAUUUUUGAAGUUUGAAGUUUGAAAAAUGAAAAAGCACUUACUGAUAAGCCAAGAUGUUCAAUAAGCUUCUCAACUCUCUGCCUCUUAUCAGCAACUGGCAAUGGCCCCAAUCUGAAAUCAGCAGCAAACAUCAAAGUUUCAUAGACAGUAAGCAUAUGCAAGUUUUGUGUCAACUCACAGGCUUAUGAUUUAUGUCAAUCACAGUUUCAUGACCUUUGGUAAGUUUUGUGUUCAUUCUCUUGAAAUGCAAGUUAAGUUUUGGUAAAAUGUUUGAGAGAGCUCAGAUUAACAUAGCAUGUUCUUAAUGGCUCCUAAACUGAGGGGAUGGUGUGCUGAGGAUGUAUAUAAGAAACAUUUUAUGGCCGGUUGGUUGGUGAUUUUUUAAGGAGAUUGUUCCAAAGCUAAUCCAAUGUUGUUUUCUUGAAAGAAGAUUAUGUAGCUUAUGCUGGUUUCUUAAAGGAAAAUGGUGAAACACUGGUGACUUGGAAAAGGGCAGCGUCCAUGGAUGAGGUUCUCCAGGAGGCUGAUAUAAUUAGUCUUCAUCCUAUCCUGGACAAAACCACUUAUCAUCUAGUCAACAAGGAAAGACUUGCCAAGAUGAAGAAGGUUAUAAACCCUCUUUGGCCAUGAAGAGAUCUUUGAAAAGAAUCAAUUUAGGGAAGGUUGUACCCACUGGCUGUUUCCACUGGCUGUUUGAGACUGAACCGCAAUCAUAUACUAUACCUUUGAACUCAUUAGUCAUGGUGUAAAACUAUUAGUAGCUCUGUAUUUGGUUGUCUUCACACUAGAAGUACAUUUAUGAUAUUUCAUGAUCGCAUAAUCUAAUGCUAGAAUUGUAUUUAUAAAACAUGGUUGAUCCUAAAUAAAUGCUAGAAUUGUAUUUUCUUUCAUG